AGAGUUUGAUCCUGGCUCAGGAUGAACGCUAGCUACAGGCUUAACACAUGCAAGUCGAGGGGAAACGACAUCGAAAGCUUGCUUUUGAUGGGCGUCGACCGGCGCACGGGCGAGUAACGCGUAUCCAACCUGCCCACCACUUGGGGAUAACCUUGCGAAAGUAAGACUAAUACCCAAUGACGUCUCUAGAAGACAUCUGAAAGGGAUUAAAGAUUUAUCGGUGAUGGAUGGGGAUGCGUCUGAUUAGCUUGUUGCGGGGUACGGCCCACCAAGGCUACGAUCAGUAGGGGUUCUGAGAGGAGGUCCCCCGACAUUGGAACUGAGACACGGUCCAAAACUCCUACGGGAGGC
rnacentral:rRNA from 1 species